UCGAAGGCACGACCACAUUAAGCCGGCACACGACAAUCACUUAAAACGGGACACAUAUUAGACGACGCUUAAAACGGACGGACACCGACACAAUGGACCGACACAACGACAAUGACGAGAACCACGAGAUCAACAGCCGACGAUUCACAUCCCACCGCGGAGGCGGAGCACCAGAUGGAGGGUGGACUCCUUCUGAAUAUUGUAGUCGGCGAGCGUCCUGCCGUCCUCAAGCUGCUUCCCGGCGAAGAUCAGCCUCUGCUGGUCCGGCGGAAUCCCCUCCUUGUCCUGGAUCUUCGCCUUCA
rnacentral:lncRNA from 1 species